rnacentral:lncRNA from 1 species
AUGCCAGCACCAAACCUGAGAGGUAGGCUUCUUCCCCUGUCUUUGAGAGACGGGAAACUGAGGCUCAGAUCGGCAAAGCCUUUGCCUGAUGUCAGCGGGGAGCACGAGGCGGGACCAGGAAAGGAAGGUGUGCCUGACUCCACCCAAGUUGACAAAGCUGACGGAGGGGAAGGAUGGACUGUCCGGGCUGCAGAAAUAGCCCAGGCCUCCAGACAGGCUGGGGGAGCUGGGGCUUCCAGGGAAGGGCCCCUCCAUGGGAAAUGGGGUGAGCCCGCCGGUGAAAGCGGGGGCGGGGGGGUCAGGCUCACCUCCAGCAACUUUCCCAGUGACAGUGCCGGUGUUCGCCCAUCCCCCACUCAACAAACAUUUCACUGGUCACCUACUGCCUGCCAGGGAAGGGGGGGGCAGCUGGGGCCUGGGGACAAAGGAACAAAGGAGAGGCCCAAGUUCCCGUCCACAGGAGGUCUGUACCUGCACCUGCAGGGCAGGAGGCUCCCUGAGCACGGAAGGGGGGUGCCGAGCCCGCAUUUCCCGCCAGGCAGUGAUCCCACAGAAGCCCAGUGGAUUCCGGGCCCACGUUUCAUUCCAGAUCAGAGCCUGGGGCAGGGGUUCUGGGGUCAGACUGAUUGCAAUCCUGGCUCCAGUAUUUGCCAGAACUUGCUUAGCUGCGUAUGCACUGCGGGGAGGGGGGCACCUCGGGUUAAGAUGAGCCACGAACAAGGUAACGAACGUUGCAACGUGGCGUGGUGCGCACAGGAACUCGCCAGAAGGUGCGACUCGUUACCACAUGACAGACAGCCCCCAGGAGACUCGGCGCCUGGCUCCCCAAACACCACAGAUAGGAGCCGGCCCACGGCUCCGGCCCCCUCCACACCGGCAGCCCCGACCUCCCAGACCGAGGGGCUGGAGUUGAAGGUGGCGUCCUGGUUCCUGACCUGUACCCAGCGGGCAUCCCCCCUCUGGUGCCCGGCAUGCCGCCCCCCUCUCCCGGGAUGCAGGGGACUGACUUCCCCAAGCAGGGAAGUUGGGGUUCGGUCAGGGAGAUGGUUUCACACGGCUGGAUUCCAGCAGGGCUCCAGACCGGCCGUGUGCCUCCUGCUUCCCGCCCUUCCGCGAGGAGGGCAGUGGCCCUUCCCCUGGCCUGUCCCACCCCGGGUGCUCACAGCCCCACGGGCCUCCCAAUGGGGGAACCCCGGCACCUUCCUCAUGUCGACCCCGCUUAGACAAGACCCUGGACCCUGA